CCACCACUUGGGGAUAACCUUGCGAAAGUAAGACUAAUACCCAAUGAUAUCUCUAGAAGACAUCUGAAAGAGAUUAAAGAUUUAUCGGUGAUGGAUGGGGAUGCGUCUGAUUAGCUUGUUGGCGGGGUAACGGCCCACCAAGGCGACGAUCAGUAGGGGUUCUGAGAGGAAGGUCCCCCACAUUGGAACUGAGACACGGUCCAAACUCCUACGGGAGGCAGCAGUGAGGAAUAUUGGUCAAUGGACGAGAGUCUGAACCAGCCAAGUAGCGUGCAGGAUGACGGCCCUAUGGGUUGUAAACUGCUUUUAUAAGGGAAUAAAGUGAGUCUCGUGAGACUUUUUGCAUGUACCUUAUGAAUAAGGACCGGCUAAUUCCGUGCCAGCAGCCGCGGUAAUACGGAAGGUCCGGGCGUUAUCCGGAUUUAUUGGGUUUAAAGGGAGCGUAGGCCGGAGAUUAAGCGUGUUGUGAAAUGUAGAUGCUCAACAUCUGCACUGCAGCGCGAACUGGUUUCCUUGAGUACGCACAAAGUGGGCGGAAUUCGUGGUGUAGCGGUGAAAUGCUUAGAUAUCACGAAGAACUCCGAUUGCGAAGGCAGCUCACUGGAGCGCAACUGACGCUGAAGCUCGAAAGUGCGGGUAUCGAACAGGAUUAGAUACCCUGGUAGUCCGCACGGUAAACGAUGGAUGCCCGCUGUUGGUCUGAAUAGGUCAGCGGCCAAGCGAAAGCAUUAAGCAUCCCACCUGGGG
rnacentral:rRNA from 1 species